CCAGUCGGUACUUCCGCUUGGAGCCGGAACUGCAGGAUCCGGAGCCAUAGAUCCAUCAUGAGGCAGCAGUUACAGAGAGGAGACCCCCACGGAGCCACCAGGAGCCGGAGCUGCUGCCGGGGGCCACCAUGAGCCAGAGAUGGAGGUAGAGGGAGCCAGAGCUGCUGGAGCCGCCAGGAGCCGGGCCAUGGACC